rnacentral:rRNA from 1 species
AUGAAUGCCUGGGAGUAUCACUGCUUGUUCCAUGCUGCAUUUCAGAAUUGUUCAUUUUUGUGUUAUGACAACUUUAUUGCAUCCUGCCGAAGCCUUUUAAAAUCAUGUACCACACAAUUAGAUCGGUAUUUGAUUACUGUUACAAGAGUAUUCUUGCCACUGAUUGACUACUCCAGCUACUUUUGGUCUAGUUGGGCAUUAUUUAGAGUUCAUAUAUGUGCUUGUCACUCCAUUGGUUAUAGUGAUUCCCUCUGUUUCCUUAUAUGUUCUUGUAGUUUGGUUGCUUUCCUGUUCAUGCAUGUUUGUACAUCUAUAUAUAGUUUUGCUGUGAAUUUGUCGUGCAUGUAUUGA